GAUUUACUUCGGUAAUGACGUUAGGAAAGCGAGCGGCGGAUGGGUGAGUAACACGUGGGGAACCUGCCCCAUAGUCUGGGAUACCACUUGGAAACAGGUGCUAAUACCGGAUAAGAAAGCAGAUCGCAUGAUCAGCUUUUAAAAGGCGGCGUAAGCUGUCGCUAUGGGAUGGCCCCGCGGUGCAUUAGCUAGUUGGUAAGGUAAAGGCUUACCAAGGCGAUGAUGCAUAGCCGAGUUGAGAGACUGAUCGGCCACAUUGGGACUGAGACACGGCCCAAACUCCUACGGGGGGCAGCAGUAGGGAAUCUUCCACAAUGGACGCAAGUCUGAUGGAGCAACGCCGCGUGAGUGAAGAAGGUUUUCGGAUCGUAAAGCUCUGUUGUUGGUGAAGAAGGAUAGAGGUAGUAACUGGCCUUUAUUUGACGGUAAUCAACCAGAAAGUCACGGCUAACUACGUGCCAGCAGCCGCGGUAAUACGUAGGUGGCAAGCGUUGUCCGGAUUUAUUGGGCGUAAAGCGAGCGCAGGCGGAAGAAUAAGUCUGAUGUGAAAGCCCUCGGCUUAACCGAGGAACUGCAUCGGAAACUGUUUUUCUUGAGUGCAGAAGAGGAGAGUGGAACUCCAUGUGUAGCGGUGGAAUGCGUAGAUAUAUGGAAGAACACCAGUGGCGAAGGCGGCUCUCUGGUCUGCAACUGACGCUGAGGCU
rnacentral:rRNA from 1 species